CAGUAAUGGAUUCGAAGGCAAACCGAACCUAGGAUGCUUUGCCGACCAGUGAAGGCGUCAGUCACCAUGUACCAAGCGGCUGCGAGCGGAGGGUGGCAUGAGUGGCGUCGCGGCGCGGUGGCUUACUUGUGGAUGCUCUGCGAGUGUGUUGCGGCUCGGCGAUGGUUUGCGUGUGGGUGUUUCGAGUGUGGCGUUGCGGCGCGUUAUUGUGCGUUUAGUGUGCGUCACCAUGUUAUAUCUCCUCGGUCUUUUACCUCGCGCAUCACUGAGUAAGUACCAUGCACAGGUUCAUCACGCAACAAGGGCACCGCUGGAGCACCCCGUCGAACCAGAUAAGGAAAGCCGCUGUUUCCUAGGGUUAGGGCGAUAGGGUGCCAGGCUGCUAACCCAUCUUUCUUUUCAGGUACAAAUUAACGAGCAUUCCCUUUCAGGUAUAUAUUAACGAGCAUUAUGUAGAUUUUUUCCAGACUACAGUCCUUGUAUAGACCACGGAGGCAGCGAGGACGAGUGCAGGAUGGAGGACAGUAAGCAAAGGAGUCUUCCGUUCACCUUGAGAUGGUAAUGGAGAUUCCUGGAGUGUGGGGGCGUGUGAUGAAGUGAUGACACGUGACACGGCAAAGUUUGACUUGAGAAGAUUUUUGGCAAAGUUUGACUUGAGAAGAAAAAUCUAAGUGUGGUGAUGGUAGAAGACUGGGCUACACGGCAUUCUGGAGGUCGCUGCAGCUAAUGAAGAGAGAACGGUAAGGAGCAGUGGAGGGAUCAGCGCCUGGUGAAGAUGCAGCUGACGAUGGUGAUGAUGGUGAAGCAACUGCGAGUGUCUUGCUGGGUGACGAUGGAGAGGAGUGUGAGCGAAUGUGAUUAAGUGAAUGAGUUUGUCGUGUGUGUGUGUGUGUGUGUGUGUGUGUGUGUGUGUAUAGUCAGCCUGUGGUGUCCAAAUUUGUGCGAGAGAGAGAGAGAGAGAGAGAGAGAG